UACGGGGGGGGGCAAGCGUUGUUCGGAAUUACUGGGCGUAAAGGGCGCGUAGGCGGUUGGAUAAGUCAGCUGUGAAAACCACGGGCUUAACUCGUGGCCUGCAGUUGAGACUGUCUGGCUUGAGUGUGGGAGAGGAGAGUGGAAUUCCUGGUGUAGCGGUGAAAUGCGUAGAUAUCAGGAGGAACACCGGUGGCGAAGGCGGCUCUCUGGACCACAACUGACGCUGAGGCGCGAAAGCAUGGGGGAGCAAACAGG
rnacentral:rRNA from 1 species